rnacentral:rRNA from 1 species
CCAAGGAGUUCAGCACAUGUGCAGGUUGUUGGGUAUAGACACCCGAAGGCACAGUGAAAGCAAACGAUGCAACUCGGUUGUAUCACAGUGGCAAGAUCUCGGCUCUUUGAGUUGGGCGCACUGCCGGCCCGUUUUCUAGCUACGCGCUCGAAACGGAGUUAGAGCACAUACGCUGAGACCCGAAAGAUGGUGAACUAUGCCUGGGCAGGAUGAAGUCAGGGGAAACUCUGAUGGAAGUCCGUAGCGAUUCUGACGUGCAAAUCGAUCGUCUGACCUGGGUAUAGGGGCGAAAGACUAAUCGAACCAUCUAAUAGCUGGUUCCUUCCGAAGUUUCCCUCAGGAUAGCUGGUGCUAUUUGUUCAGUCUCUCCCGGUAAAGCGAAUGAUUAGAGGUCUUGGGGGCAAAACGCCCUCAACCUAUUCUCAAACUUUAAAUGGGUGAGAAGUCCAGCUUACUUAAGUGAAGUCUGGACUCUAGGAUGUUUGAGUACCAAGUGGGCCAUUUUUGGUAAGCAGAACUGGCGCUGUGGGAUGAACCGAACGCUGGGUUACGGUGUCCGAGUAUACGCUCAUCAGACCCCACAAAAGGUGUUGGUUGCUAUAGACAGCAGGACGGUGGCCAUGGAAGUCGGAA